GACGAACGCUGGCGGCGUGCUUAACACAUGCAAGUCGAACGGAAAGGCCCUGCUUUUGUGGGGUGCUCGAGUGGCGAACGGGUGAGUAACACGUGAGUAACCUGCCCUUGACUUUGGGAUAACUUCAGGAAACUGGGGCUAAUACCGGAUAGGAGCUCCUGCUGCAUGGUGGGGGUUGGAAAGUUUCGGCGGUUGGGGAUGGACUCGCGGCUUAUCAGCUUGUUGGUGGGGUAGUGGCUUACCAAGGCUUUGACGGGUAGCCGGCCUGAGAGGGUGACCGGCCACAUUGGGACGGAGAUACGGCCCAGACUCCUACGGGAGGCAGCAGUGGGGAAUAUUGCACAAUGGGCGGAAGCCUGAUGCAGCAACGCCGCGUGCGGGAGGACGGCCUUCGGGUGGUAAACCGCUUUCGCCUGUGACGAAGCGUGAGUGACGGUAAUGGGUAAAGAAGCACCGGCUAACUACGU
rnacentral:rRNA from 1 species